UUCGGAUUGUAGUCUGCAACCCGACUACAUGAAGCUGGAAUCGCUAGUAAUCGCGGAUCAGAAUGCCGCGGUGAAUACGUUCCCGGGUCUUGUACACACCGCCCGUCACACCAUGGGAGUCGGAAAUGCCCGAAGUCUGUGACCCAACCUGAGAGGGAGGGAGCAGCCGAAGGCAGGUCUGAUGACUGGGGUGAAGUCGUAACAAGGUAGC
rnacentral:rRNA from 1 species